GCCGGGGUGGCAGAGCGGACUAAUCCAAUGGAGCCAAUAAGAUUCCAUGGAGUCUAUACGCGGUAGGUUCGAAACCUACUGUAUCUUCUGGUACACUUGGGUUCGAAUCCCAACCCUGGCG
rnacentral:tRNA from 1 species